CAGGACAAGCGACACCUCAUCAAACGCGCUCAUAUCAAAUUUUAGAGCGUCGUUUUUAGCGCUUUUCCUCAAUUCACGCCGAAAACCCAACCCCACUCCCGCUGGCACGGUUCGUCAGUUAUCUGCUUCGAGUCCCACGAGUAAAAGCAAUCGUAAGCGAUCAACCAGGGGCGCAGGUGGUAGCUCACAAUCUUCGGAAUGAGCUUCAUCCCCGCGCCUCUCCUCUGAAUUUGCUCCGGCACACCCAGCGAUAAUC
rnacentral:misc_RNA from 1 species